rnacentral:rRNA from 1 species
UACGGAAGGCAGCAGUGGGGAAUAUUGCACAAUGGGCGCAAGCCUGAUGCAGCCAUGCCGCGUGUAUGAAGAAGGCCUUCGGGUUGUAAAGUACUUUCAGUCGUGAGGAAGGUGUUAAGGUUAAUAACCUUAGCAAUUGACGUUAGUGACAGAAGAAGCACCGGCUAACUCCGUGCCAGCAGCCGCGGUAAUACGGAGGGUGCGAGCGUUAAUCGGAAUUACUGGGCGUAAAGAGCACGUAGGUGGUUUUUUUAAGUCAGAUGUGAAAUCCCUGGGCUUAACCUAGGAACUGCAUUUUGAAACUGAAAUACUAGAGUAUCGUAGAGGGAGGUAGAAUUCUAGGUGUAGCGGUGAAAUGCGUAGAUAUCUGGAGGAAUACCUGUGGCGAAAGCGGCCUCCUAAAACGAAAUACUGACACUGAGGUGCGAAAGCGUGGGGAGCAAACAGGGAUUAGAUACC